rnacentral:rRNA from 1 species
GUUAUCUAAUAUAUAUAUGUAUAUUAAAACACGAAGUCAUUUGAGCUAAAUAUUAAAGUAGAAUUAGAUAAUUUAACAAUUAGUGUAGCAAUACUAAAUUAAUAUUGAUAUUUAGGGGUGAAAGGCUUCUCAAAAUUGACGAUAUCUUGAUGGUUUGGAAAAAUAUAUAGUAUAUCUAUAGAUUAAAAAUGUUAAGGUUUUUAGUUGUCAUAAUUUAUUUUAAAUGUUCUGUUGAAUACUUAAUAGUUUCAGUUUUAGAUGAUUAAAUACCAAUUAAUUUUAAAAUAUGAUGAAUACUUACCUUUUAAUACUAAUUGUAUAAUUAAUUUAUAAUGAUCACAUCAGUAUUUUAUUAAACUUCGUUAAGGAACUCGGCAAAUAUAUUUCUCGACUGUUUAACAAAAACAUGCCUUAUGCUAUUAUUUAAGGUUAAACCUGCUCAAUGAGUAAGAAUUAAAUAGCCGCAGUACAUUGACUGUGCAAAGGUAGCAUAAUCAAUUGGCUUAUAAUUGAAGUCUAGUAUGAAUGGGAAUCCGGGGAAUAGCUAUCUAAGUUAAGAUAACAUAAAUUACUUAAUGAGUGAAAAGUCUCAUAAACAGAAGAAAGACGAGAAGACCCUAGAAAUUUUAUUAUUAAAUUCUAUAUAUUAUUUUGUUGGGGCGACAUAGUAACAAAUAACUUACUAUACUAUACAAGCUACUAAUUGAGUUGCGAGAAUAAAUUACUCUAGGGAUAACAGCAUUAUUCAAUAUGAGUUUAUGACCUCGAUGUUGGACUAGGAAAUAAUUUUUUUAGAAGAUAAAUUAUCUAAGCUCUGUUCGAGCACUACCUCCUACAUGAUCUGAGUUCAGACCGG